rnacentral:rRNA from 1 species
AAAUUGAAGAGUUUGAUCAUGGCUCAGAUUGAACGCUGGCGGCAGGCCUAACACAUGCAAGUCGAACGGUAACAGGAAACAGCUUGCUGUUUCGCUGACGAGUGGCGGACGGGUGAGUAAUGUCUGGGAAACUGCCUGAUGGAGGGGGAUAACUACUGGAAACGGUAGCUAAUACCGCAUAACGUCGCAAGACCAAAGAGGGGGACCCUCGGGCCUCUUGCCAUCGGAUGUGCCCAGAUGGGAUUAGCUUGUUGGUGGGGUAACGGCUCACCAAGGCGACGAUCCCUAGCUGGUCUGAGAGGAUGACCAGCCACACUGGAACUGAGACACGGUCCAG